GACGAACGCUGGCGGCGUGCUUAACACAUGCAAGUCGAACGGAAAGGCCCUGCUUUUGUGGGGUGCUCGAGUGGCGAACGGGUGAGUAACACGUGAGUAACCUGCCCUUGACUUUGGGAUAACUUCAGGAAGCUGGGGCUAAUACCGGAUAGGAGCUCCUGCUGCAUGGUGGGGGUUGGAAAGUUUCGGCGGUUGGGGAUGGACUCGCGGCUUAUCAGCUUGUUGGUGGGGUAGUGGCUUACCAAGGCUUUGACGGGUAGCCGGCCUGAGAGGGUGACCGGCCACAUUGGGACUGAGAUACAGCCCAGACUCCUACGGGAGGCAGCAGUGGGGAAUAUUGCACAAUGGGCGGAAGCCUGAUGCAGCAACGCCGCGUGCGGGAUGACGGCCUUCGGGUUGUAAACCGCUUUCGCCUGUGACGAAGCGUGAGUGACGGUAAUGGGUAAAGAAGCACCGGCUAACUACGUG
rnacentral:rRNA from 1 species